CCAAUAGCGUAUAUUAAAGUUGCUGCAGUUAAAAAGCUCGUAGUUGAAUUUCGGGACUAAUAUGUCGGUCGUGCCUCGGUACGUACUGGUUUAUUGGUUUCUCCUUUCUGAAGAACCAUGAUGUCAUUUAUUUGGUGUCGUGGGGAAUCAGGACUGUUACUUUGAAAAAAUUAGAGUGUUUAAAGCAGGCUCACGCUUGAAUACAUUAGCAUGGAAUAAUGAAAUAGGACGUUUGAUUCUAUUUUGUUGGUUUCUAGGAUCGACGUAGUGAUUAAUAGGGAUAGUUGGGGGCAUGAGUAUUAAAUUGUCAGAGGUGAAAUUCUUGGAUUUAUUGAAGACUAACUACUGCGAAAGCAUUUGCCAAGGAUGUUUUCAUUAAUCAAGAACGAAAGUUAGGGGAUCGAAGACGAUCAGAUACCGUCGUAGUCUUAACCAUAAACUAUGCCGACUAGGGAUCGGAUGAUGUUAAUUUUUUAAUGACUCAUUCGGCGCCUUACG
rnacentral:rRNA from 1 species